rnacentral:lncRNA from 1 species
GACGCGUCCCGGGUCCUCGCGCGCCGGUCGAGAGGGAGGGCCGCGCGCUGAGCCUGGUGAGCCCGGCUCAGGUCUGGGAGCCACCGAGCCCGCUGGCCUCGGCCGCCGUGGCCGCGCCGCGCCUCCGUCUACUGUCGGCCGCGCCUCCCGACUGCUGCUGCAUCCCCGCGGGCCGCGCAGCUCCAGCCGCCCGCCCCCAUCGGCGCCUGAGCGCGGCUGCUCCCCGCGCGGCCCCCGCGCUCUAGGCAACUUUGUGCGUCGUCCGUGCGGCGGGCGGGCGCGGCGGGCCAGACACGGGUCCCCGGCGGGCGCGAGGCCGAGAGCGGAGCGCGCAGCCCCGCCAAGCGUCUGCUGAACGGCGACCGCCUCCUCUUCCCCGCCUCUUCCUUCUCCUGCGCCUCGGCGGCCGCCGGAGCCACUCUUCAGGGAGGAAGCGGCCUCCGGGGCUUGUUGCUUUGUGCUGCAACCAUGUGACUGCAAGGACAACGUUGCUCUCCUACCUUCCGCGCUCACUGACAUCUAAACCCUUAAAUGACUCCUGCGUUAGUCAGGUAGGAAUGUGGCUUUCCAACUCCAGACCUGGUAUCACAUCGGACAAGAAAACACCAGGUCAGCCCGUUGUAAUCUAGAGGCCAAGACAGCAAGUUCUCUGACAUAAUCAAGAAUGAAUAAUCCUAGGUCGGACUUUGCCUUCCACUGGGCAGAGCACCUUCUCAGGAUCGCGAGUUUCCAAUCCAGACUUGCCCGGUACAAAGCCCAUAUUAGUGUGUUAAGAUGUCCCUGCUCUUGGGAGUUCAUCCCUUCCUGACCAGGCUUGAGGUGUGCAGCGUCAGCCUCAAAGAAGAUUGCAGUGUUUGAAGUCUGUGUGGAGACUAAAGACAAUUGUUAUUCAAACUUAAAAACCUUUUUUUCAAGCAUAUUUUUCGAUAUCCAGUUUAUUAUUGUAAGCAAUUGGGACAGGCUGUCAGCUAGUAGGGGAGGAAGUCCUUAAAUUCGCCAGCACAGCGCUAAACGGAUUGCAUAACUUCCAAAAAGAAAGGAUCUGCGGGGGCCAAAAUUUAGAGAACUGAGUCUAAGUUACAAAGUAUAUCUAAUAAGUCCGGUUUUAUUGCUUUUACAGCAACUGCUUCCUGCUUUAUCUGAAGUCCUAGAGCAGCAACUUGAAUUCUCCAGGCUAAACCUCCACUUCAAAAGCAAAAUAACAGAAAAAGAGAAUUUUAAACCCAAUGAUCUGCAAAAUACAUAUACCCGACAUUCCCCAUUUGGAGUCUAUGCGACAUUUCAGAGUGUGUGUGUACAAAUCUGGUUCCACUUUUCUUGUCCCAAACAUCCCCCAUCCACAGCCUUAAAUGUCCCAAUUAAUAAGACACCAUUAUCACCAUCCAGGUUCCCCAGGGUUCAUCCUAGUAUCUUCUUAAUUUCUUUCUCCUCUAUGCAACAAAGUUUGGUACAGCCUUCUACCUCAACUUUCAAAGUUCUAAUAGAUGUGUAUUCCAGUCCCUACCACCUUUCCUACAGUGAUCAUGGUCCAAAGCACUACAACCCUCUGAUUGCAUUUUUCUAUAGUUAUAUCCCUAGUACCCUUUUUCUUUCUUUCCUUCUUCCUUUCUUUCUUCCUUUCUUUCUUUCUUUCUUUCUUCCUUCCCUCCUUUCUUGUUUCUUUGUUUCUUGUUUAUUUGUUAGUUUGUUUUCCUCUGAGUAGCCCAUUCUCAUGACAGCAGCCGGUGUAAAUGUGCUCCCGUGAGUCACUGCUUAUCUUCCAUGACAUUCAUCCCACAAGCCUAGAACUCUGUGGCCUCAAUGACCCCUGAACCUAGUCCUCCAACCUGUGACCUCUUCUGACCUACUCUCAUAUCCACUAUGUUCCCUACUCAGUUCCUCAGGCACACGAGCUUCCAUGCUGUUUCUAAAGAAAUAAAGCAAAUGUGGAUCUCCUGGCCUUCCAUCUGCUGUUCCUUCUACUGCUGUGUUGGCUCUACCUUUCCCCUUCCACCCACGGAAGAAAAAGAAAACAUAUGUAACAGAUGGAAUGCUGCUUUCCACCUCCUUUGCUCUUCUCUCAUCUUUAUUCAAAUAUCAUCUUCCCCAUGGUUGCGUAGCCUACCUUCCUGGCUUUAUUUAACACCUAACCUGCAUAUUGUAUUUUACUCAUUUUGUAUUUUCUUACUCCACUGUAAUGUCAGCUGUGCACGUCAAUGAUUUUUAUUUUGUUGACCUCUAUACCAACUAGUAUUAUUGGAUGGAUACUCGAAUUACUCAAAUACCUUAUAGUUGUAUGAUAUAUAUUAUUAUCACACCUAUAUGGUGGGAAAAAGGAAGUUGCAAGAGGACACACAAGCCCACUAAGCCUGUCUUCUGUCCUACAGAAAGAAUGCAUUUACUUCGUGCUGAAGAUUUGCAAGUAUCAAAUACAACACAUGCAAAGAUGUUGCACAGUGCUUGAGCCAUAGUAUGAACUCAACAAAUAGUUGUUAUUUUUAAGAUCAUAUUCGUCAUCCCCACCCUUUGAGGUUUGUGGACAGUUAUUAUCAUCCUGUUUACAGAUGGGGAAACUGGCAAUAAAGUGGGCUGUGUGAUUUGCCCUA